rnacentral:tRNA from 3 species
GGCCCGUUGGUCAAGCGGGUAAGACACCGCCCUUUCACGGCGGUAACACGGGUUCGAAUCCCGUACGGGUCA